GACGAACGCUGGCGGCGUGCUUAACACAUGCAAGUCGAACGGUAAGGCCCUUCGGGGUACACGAGUGGCGAACGGGUGAGUAACACGUGGGUGAUCUGCCCUGCACUUCGGGAUAAGCCUGGGAAACUGGGUCUAAUACCGGAUAGGACCCUGGGAUGCAUGUCCUGGGGUGGAAAGCUUUUGCGGUGUGGGAUGGGCCCGCGGCCUAUCAGAUUAUUGGUGGGGUGAUGGGCUACCAAGGCGACGACGGGUAGCCGGCCUGAGAGGGUGACCGGCCACACUGGGACUGAGAUACGGCCCAGACUCCUACGGGGGGCAGCAGUGGGGAAUAUUGCACAAUGGGCGCAAGCCUGAUGCAGCGACGCCGCGUGAGGGAUGACGGCCUUCGGGUUGUAAACCUCUUUCAGCACCGACGAAGCGCAAGUGACGGUAGGUGCAGAAGAAGGACCGGCCAACUACGUGCCAGCCGCCGCCGUAA
rnacentral:rRNA from 1 species